GGACUGGAGAGACUGCUUAGAAGAGCCCUAAUAAUGCUCUUGAGGAAGACCCGGGUUUCCAGCACCCAUGUGGUGGCCUAUAACCGUUCCAACCACCAGUGCACAUGCAGGCACCGCACCCAUACACAUAAAAUAAAAAUAAAUCUUUUUAGUUAAUUUCACCUGUUAUGUUGCCCUCUAAUAGUUUUCAUGAGACAGUCUGAUGUAUACUUCGUUCCAUUUGGAAAUCAUAGAGUCGACUGCUUUAAUGGUGUUUACUCCAGUUAAUCAAUCCUUUAUCUCACCAACCACCUCAUGCUAACGCUCCCCAACUUCCACAACCCAGGAAAGCUGGCAAGCACGCUCUCGCUCUCUUUAAACAAGGGUCUCACCACAUUGCCCUGACUGCCCUGGAACUCUGUGCAACAGGCUGGCCUCGAACUCACACAACUCUCUGCCAGCCUCUGCCUCUCCAAGUGCACAGAUUAAAGGAGUGCACUACAACGCCCGGUGCAACAUCAAAGUCCGAGGCGAAAAAAACUCGAAACUUAUCUAUACUACAGACACAGAAAGUCUUGAGGGAGAGAAAAAAAAAUCAAUGUUUUCACCGUUAUGUGUCCCUAAAACAAGGGCGCAACAGAGCGACCUCCACGGCUCAGGAGGGUCGCUGAGCGCCCAAAGACAGCAGCACCCGAGGCUGGGGGCGGGCCUGAGGCUGCGAGGAGGGCAGGGCUGCUCGGCGGAACCACCGUACCUUGAGAAGUCCUCUCAUCUUCGCCAGGAAGGGGCGGAACUCCUCCGGUGGCACUUCCGGAUAGAGUUGGCUGUGCAGCAGCUCCUCCGUGACACCCGAGUGUCCGUGAAAGGCGUUCUGCGCUAGGCCGCUCAGCAGCCCGCUCAGGGACUUGCCACCCUCCAGAUCGCCCGCCAUGGCUAAGGAGGGCCUGCCGCCCAGCGGCUGAGCUCCGGUCCGCUACGGGGGCCGAGAAGGGCCAUAAAAGCUGGCAAAGGCAGCCACGGAACGCGAUGCCGGGUUCCUCCACUAGUCGAUAUAAACAGUUCUCUCGUUUGCUCUGCCACACACAUCCACUACUUCCACCACAGCCAAAUCCACUCAGUUUCCUUUAGAGUCACUGUGUUUUUGUUGUUUCCUUCUUCACUCCGAUGUGCAAAUGCGCACUCAAAGGAACGAUCGCUGGCUGGAGAUACCUAACUGUAACUCCGUAAGAAUGCCACCUUAAUUCUUCGAUGGCUGUAUCUCAUUCUACAGCUUGCAAUUAAAUGAGCAGUGCCUACUACUCAGUUCUAAGCUCUAUAAUCUUUUCCCCACGCCCCCCAAAUGUAGCUACUUCAUGAGGACAUGAUCUCUUUGCUUGCAUUAAUUCCUUUGUGUAUACCCGUACGUUGUCUUUCUAGCCAUUAUCAGUAGUCUGGUCUCCAUUUCUAUAACCACUAUUUUUCAAAGCCUUAUUUUCAUUCUUAAAGUGGAAUCGCAUUAGUAAAUACUUAUCUACAUAAUUACCC
rnacentral:lncRNA from 1 species